UCAGGUGAUUAUUCUGAACCAUCCAGGCCAAAUUAGUGCUAGCUAUGCUCCUGUUCUGGAUUGUCACACAGCACAUAGCAUGCAAGUUUGCUGAGCUUAAAGAAAAGAUCGAUCAUCGUUCUGGUAAGAAGCUGAAAGAUGGCCCCAAAUUCCUGAAGUCUGGUGAUGCUGCCAUUGUUGAUAUGGUCCCUGGCAAGCCCAUGUAUGUUGAGAGCUUCUCUGACUAUCCUCCACUUGGUCGUUUUGCUGUUCGUGACAUGAGGCAGACAGUUGCUGUGGGUGUCAUCAAAGCUGUGGACAAGAAGGCUACUGGAGCUGGCAAAGUCACCAAGUCUGCUCAGAAAGCUCAGAAGGCUAAAUGAAUAUUAUCCCUAACACCUGCCACCCCAGUCUUAAUCAGUGGUGGAAGAACGGUCUCAGAACUGUUUGUCUCAAUUGGCCAUUUAAGUUUAAUAGUAAAAGACUGGUUAAUGAUUACAAUGCAUCGUAAAACCUUCAGA